CUUACAGAGGGCUCUGAGCUGCUGACAGAAUUUAUCUGAACCAUCUCUGUUUUCUUCAUAGAAAAAAAUAGUAUUUGGCCUUGACCCAAACAUCCUCUCUGCUGCUUGAUUGGAGAAUUGAAAAGCAGAGUGAACUGCACUUCCCUGAUACUCUUGAGGUGCAGGAAAACCCAUUAAAUUGUUUUCUUUGAGAAGGUAUUUUAAAACUUGAUGUGUUGCAUUCCCUUCUGAAAAUGGAAAAACUAGUCAGGGAAUUGGCUACCCUGUUGUAAUAGAUGAGGAAUCCUAUCAUCUAUGGGCUUAUAAAGAGGCCUGGAGCUUUGGUCUUUUCCUCUCUAGCCUCCAAGAAGAUAUAGAAUUUUAUGUACAACCCCCAAAUUGCCUGAAAAUCAGAGUGGCCACUUCCACUUAGAUUCCACAGUCAGCGUUUGUCUCUUGGAGGCAAAAACACAGGCAUCAAUGCACAAAGAACAAAUGCCCUUGUUGGCACCAGGCAUUUGCAGAAAAUCUGGGCUGGAUAAAGGGGAGGGGAAGAUUUUCUGUCUCUCAUGGUACCACAGAGAGUCAGUGUGCAUGUUCGGGCCAGCGUGGAGACAGGAUGCGUGUAACUCUAUCCUAUAGGAGCUUUGGCACUGGUGUCAUAUGAAUAUGGAAAGUUCCAUUGGACAGAGAAUGACUGGGCAGUGUGGACUGCUGAGGAGAGAGAGCUGACCCAACAGACACUUGAUCUGACUGGAGCAAGUCCUGUAGAGCCUGCACUGGAGAGACCUUGGCAAUCACCCAGCCACUACCCUGGCUGCACCUAGACGCACCUGGGAGCUUAAAAGAAAAUAAUCGUGUCUGGGUUCCAUCCUUAAAGGUUUAAUUCAAGUUGUCUGGGGUAAGGCCCUUUAUCAUUAUUAAAAACAAGAAAAUCAAAUGAGGCUACUAUGUGGCCAGAGUGGAAGAUCCCUGACUUAGUUCAAGCUUUUCAUUUCAUAGAUAAAAAACUGGGGCUCCUGAAGUCAAUGUCGGGUGCCCUGAUUUUUCACAGUUGAGGAGUCAUGGUUCUCCUGCCCUCCUACGUCAGUGCUGGCUCUGCCAGCCUAGAGGCAUUUCAGCACGAGCACCUUCUUGGGGACUCCUGAGCCUUCCUAUGAAGAGGUGACUGAGUACUUACUCCCUAACAUGUCCGUCUGGGGCUUAGCACCCUCUAGAGAGGUUCCUUCCAGCCUGCUGAAUAUUUUAUAAGCAUCUGAAGAGAUUCAACACAGUAAAUAACUCCUGUGCAGGAACAUAUUGGACGUCCC
ensembl:lncRNA